rnacentral:tRNA from 1 species
UUUGUAUAGCUCAGUUGGUAGAGCAUGAUAUUCUUCAUCUCAGGGCUGUGGGUUCAAGUUCCACAUUGGGCAAAA